CACCCGAUGACUGAAAGCAAGUCUAGAUCUUUUAAAUCUACUAUAGUAACAGCGCCUACUUCCGGUGA
rnacentral:tRNA from 1 species